rnacentral:snRNA from 1 species
UUACUCGCUUCAGCGGUACAUGUACUAAAAUUGGAACGAUACAGAGAAAAUUAGCAUGGCCCGUGCGCAAGCAUGAUAAACACACACAAUAGUUCGAUCGUCAAUUAU